rnacentral:lncRNA from 1 species
GGCGGGGCGGCGGGGCGGGCCUCUCCGCGCGCCGCGGCAGCAGGAGGAGCGCGAGCGGCUGUCGGGGCUGGCGAUGGGGUUAACUGCCCCUCGUGCGUGAGCCUGCCGCGGAGCCGGCCCCAGCCUGCCGGCCGCGCUGCCGCCGCCGCCGCGGUGAAGCUUCCUGUUCUCCUAGCUUUUAGGCGUCUGACAUCUGAAGCCAUAUUCCCAUGCUCGGAGUUGUUUAGAAUUCUUUGGGAUGAUAACACAACAAUUUGAAUCCACUUAUCCAGCUACUUCUGGAGAAGCAAGAAGUUAGAUGAGAAUGCACAGAAGAAGAAUGUCUAGAACAGACUUAAUUUUAACUUUCUCUUGAACUGUAGUUCA